CCAUCCUGCAGUCAAAUAGAGGAAGAGAGAAACUUUCAGACCCCGUCUUCACUCAUAUGUGACUGAAGCGACACCAGUGUUUCACUUAACAAACAAGUUGUGCUUCAACAUGUUAAAGUCACAUUAUGACUUAUGCCAAUUAGCAUAUUUGUUGAGCUCUAUAGGAAUGAGUUUGUUUUCAUAUCUCUGAAAACCUGUAGUUUUUAUUCUGUCUACUUCAGGAAAAAAGACAAGAAAGAAAAGGGAAGUUUUAAAGGCUGACAGGUACUUACAAACAGAGAAAGAAGGAAGGCAGGAGAGGACAUGGAGACAGUGUCCUGUAAGAGGAAAUGAUGCAUAUCAGAGCUGCGACACAAAGGUGCAUUGAAAGUCUCAAGAGGAAACUAAAUAAUGCCAAGAUAAGACAUAGUGUCUAUUCAGCAGAAGGAAAUGUUGAAAUAAGCUUCAGGAGAACUACUGUACUGAGCACAUUUAUACAUAUAUUGGUAUAUAUUGUCAUGUGGCCAUUUUAAAAGUUUACUAUUCAUUUCCUCGCUGCACUGCAAUUGCACUACUUAUCCGCAUCAGAUAUUUUUUUUAAAGGAACACGCCAGCAUGUUUAGCUCAUCAACUGCAUAUAACAUAUACUACAGACAUACAGUAUAUUCUUGUCAACCAUUUUUCAAAGUAUAACAUGAUGUUUUACAAUCAUCUCCAACCUUCCAGUCAACUACUGGUUUCAAUUAUAACAUCAGUACGCUGUGAAACAUCAGCAUUCAACACUUGAAACUUGCUUCAGAUCAGUGAAGCACCUUGUCAGUAGAGUCCUGUUUGCGUGUGUUGUCACGGCCCCUCAGGCUUUUGGUGCUGAUGCCACCCUCAGAUGUUUCCAUGAUGAGCUGGGUGGCCAGAAACUGCUGGAUCUGCUCCAGGACGUCGCGCUGCAUCUCCAGGGCCAUGUGGUACACGUCGUGAUCCAGGCUGUUGUACAUGACCGCGUUCUGAAACAUCAGCAUGAUGUCCCUCUGGAACUCGGCGGUGGUCCGCGUCGAACCGGUCUCGAUGUUCUUUUUUAUGGCAGCGAGGUCCAUGGGCCUGUAGAAGUGAGGAGCAAAGAGGGGGUUAGAAUGAUGUUGAAUGUCAAUAAUCCAAUGUCAUCCAGCAAAAACAAGAUUGUUUUUCUUAGCAAAAACAACCUGUAUUGAAAACUU